rnacentral:rRNA from 1 species
CCUACGGGAGGCAGCAGUGAGGAAUAUUGGUCAAUGGGCGCAAGCCUGAACCAGCCAAGUCGCGUGAGGGAUGACGGUCCUAUGGAUUGUAAACCUCUUUUGUCGGGGAGCAAGGCCCGCCACGUGUGGCGGGAAGGAGAGUACCCGAAGAAAAAGCAUCGGCUAACUCCGUGCCAGCAGCCGCGGUAAAACGGAGGAUGCGAGCGGUAUCCGGAUUUAUUGGGUUUAAAGGGGGCGUAGGCGGAAGUUUAAGUCAGCGGUCAAAUGUCGGUGCUCAACACCGGCCUGCCGUUGAAACUGGUCGUCUUGAGUGAGCGAGAAGUAUGCGGAAUGCGUGGUGUAGCGGUGAAAUGCAUAGAUAUCACGCAGAACUCCGAUUGCGAAGGCAGCAUACCGGCGCUCAACUGACGCUGAGGCACGAAAGCGUGGGGAUCGAACAGGAUUAGAUACCCUGGUAGUC